UUUGGUGACAAUGAAGAAUGGGUGAGAUAAACAGCACAGCUGAGGCAUAUUGCAUUUGCAGAUUUAAGGCUCAUUAAAAAUUCACUUUAGACAACAAUAUAAAGAAAUGUGACUUUUCAUAGAUUUCCAUGAGUCAAAGUGUCUGGAAAGGCAGCCUAAAAGACAGAAAGGAGUCAAUGUAAACAUGAAUGGAAGAGAAUGAUUGGUACAGCCACAAGUGUGUGGUAUUAGAAGCAAAUUUAAACUGUACUUAAAAAGAUAAUCACAAAUGAAUGGAUGAAUUUUACUAGAAAAUCAGUAAAAACUAAAUAAUUUAAAAUUUUCCCAUUCUUAAGUAA
rnacentral:lncRNA from 1 species